ACGAACGCUGGCGGCAUGCCUAACACAUGCAAGUCGAACGAGACCUUCGGGUCUAGUGGCGCACGGGUGCGUAACGCGUGGGAACCUGCCCUUAGGUUCGGAAUAACUCCCCGAAAGGGGUGCUAAUACCGGAUAAUGUCUUCGGACCAAAGAUUUAUCGCCUUUGGAUGGGCCCGCGUUGGAUUAGCUAGUUGGUAGGGUAAAAGCCUACCAAGGCGACGAUCCAUAGCUGGUCUGAGAGGAUGAUCAGCCACACUGGGACUGAGACACGGCCCAGACUCCUACGGGAGGCAGCAGUGGGGAAUAUUGGACAAUGGGCGAAAGCCUGAUCCAGCAAUGCCGCGUGAGUGAUGAAGGCCUUAGGGUUGUAAAGCUCUUUUACCCGGGAUGAUGAUGACAGUACCGGGAGAAUAAGCUCCGGCUAACUCCGUG
rnacentral:rRNA from 1 species